GUGCCAGCAGCCGCGGUAAAACGUAGGAGACAAACGUUAUCCGGAGUUACUGGGCGUAAAGGGCGUGCAGGCGGUUGCUUAAGUUCGGCGUGAAAGCUCCUGGCUAAACCGGGAGAGGUCGUCGGAAACUGGGUGACUAGAGGGUGAUAGAGGCGGGUGGAAUUCCGGGUGUAGUGGUGAAAUGCGUAGAGAUCCGGAGGAACACCAGUGGCGAAGGCGACCCGCUGGGUCACACCUGACGCUGAGACGCGACAGCAUGGGGAGCGAACGGGAUUAGAAACCCCUGUAGUCC
rnacentral:rRNA from 1 species